GGUUGGUCCAAGUGCAGUGGUGUUUACAACUAAUUGAUCACAACCAGUUACAGAGUCCUUUGUUCCUUCUCCACUCUCACUGCUUCACUUGACUUGACCAGCCUAAA
ensembl:misc_RNA Y_RNA Y RNA